UACAGUUCAGAGGUUCCGUUCAUUACCAUCGUGGUGGUGAGCCUGGCGGCAUGCAGGCAGACAUGGUGAUGGCUACAUCUUGAUCAGAAGGCAACAGGCAAUGCUCUUGUGAAGCUUAAGCAAAAGACACAAAACCAGCCCACCUAUAUGGAGCACUGGAACACGGCAGAGCACACAGCAAGAUGAGAGCUUGUGUGAAAAUCGGCUGAAUGUAACCCCAACACUCCAGUCGUGACAGGCAGUCCUCCAACACACGUGGAAGUGAGAAUGAUUACGUUUUGUCGAAAGUGUCUCAUUACAUUGAUUUAAAUGAGUUUUCUAAGCCCGCAAAAAGAAAAACAGCGUAAAAAUACCAUUUGUUCUAAAUAAGACGAUAAAAAGACAGGUAGUGAAAGCCUUCAGAAAUUCCAGUUAGUGAAGGGCAAAGCCUCUACCGCUGCGGACAUCUGACAGAAGGAAAAUGGAGUUCAGCAGUACUCUAGGCAGGUGUCUCACUUUUGCUUAAUGCAUCUUCAUACAUCAAACAUCCGAUAAAGGACGGGUGUUAAGAGACCUGGCUCGCAGGAUGUGCACUGCAGGGGUUGAGAUCUUCAACUUGACAAACCUGUUUCAUCUCUGACAGCAGCCGAGUGCAACGAGCUCAGAACCACUUCCUAAGAUCUCCCACACCUUCCCAGGCUAGGGGAACUGGGCUUUAAAGAAAAACAGCACGCUGAAAGCUUGACUUUAUCCACAAAAAGCAUUUCCAUUACUCUCAAGAGUCACUGAGUGAAGCCUGUAGCUCCAUGGACUAUGAGAAUCUGUCCUAGCACAAUUAGAAGACAUUGUCACACAGAACACGGCUCUGGAGGUGUCAUGUGUUAAAUGUAACGUGACCUGUAAUGUGACUGUCCUGCAUGGUAAGGCCCCCAGCAUUUGACCAUCAAAUUGUCAAUCAAAAUUCAACUUCUGAAGACUGCUGGCCCAGAGUGUGUCAAAAAGUGGAUACAAUGGAAAAUCAUUAAAAAAAAAAACUGGGUUUCUUGCUUCUUGUGAAAAACGGAAGAUUUGGCAAAAUUGAGACCAUUCCUGGGUUGGAGCCAUACCUCAAGUGAGUCAUAUGGUCACCAGUAACCUACUAGACAUCGUAUUGUCCCUCACAUCCAUCUGCCCUCACUGUCUGAUUUCCCAGCUGACCUGGGGGGCACCUACAUGUGCGUGCUCCGCAGGUCCCUUUCCUCAAGACAGCCACAGGAGUCAUCUUGGAGGAAGUGGCUUUUGGAUGGAAGAUGGAAAGACAGAAGCUGUUUGUGUGCAGUUUCUGCCUCAGCGAAGCCUCGACUCAUUGGUGCUUCCCUUCUCUGGUGCCUCUGUUUCUCUACUUGUAACCAGAAUAGACCCAGGUUUCUCUAUCUAGAUCAUCAGUCACUUGGAAUCAAGAAAAUUCAAGUUCCCAUUCAGUCCCGCCAUUUUCUUGAUGGAUGAGGUUAGAAACCUGGAACAUUUGUACAAGUGCUCAAAUUAUCCUUUUGCAAAAUGGAGAUGACAUGAAAACCUU